rnacentral:lncRNA from 1 species
CGUUUUCACCAACAACCUCUUACCGUUUCCCUAUCUAAAAGCUACUUUUAAUAAGGAGCCCUCCCAAUUUGACACCUACCUAAAUUCAUUUUCACCACACUUGUACAUGGAUCCCUUAAGUAAGUGACAGAUUACUAGUUCUACAAACGAUAAUGCAAAGUCGAUAUUUUAUCGAUAAAAUGAUUUUUCUCUACUUCUUAAGAAAUAAACGUCUAUCGAGUAUAUAUUACUAAAGCCUGUGAGUUUUUUUUCUUGUGAUGUUAUUUUAAUUUAACUUAAACUACAUUACGCUAUGUUUUAUGCAAUAUAACAGUAAAGAGGUUUUCUAUAGGUGAAUUUUUACCUAUGUCAUUCGCGCGUUUGUCAAAUUGACUGAUGUGUAUGUGUACAUAGAGUGAGGUUAAUUUUGGGUUUAUUAUUGUUGAAUAGAUAAGUUUAUUUUGGCAGAGAAGAGAAAACGAGGAUAAACCUUUCUUGCAGAAGAAAAAGACAAGCUAGUGAAAUUGCUGACGUCUCAUAGAGACACAAUAUUAAACAAAAAACGGAUGGGACCACGAACAAAGCCAAAAACAAAGCUUGGAUCCAGUUACAAAUAGUUUUAAUGCGAUAGGAACCGUUUACAGUUUCAGGUGGUGCGAGAAAUUGGAAAGACGUGUAAAAACAUGCUGCGCCCAGCCCACCUCAAAUUGAAUUGGUGCAGGAGGAUGAUGAUAAUGUUUGGUACAUCAUAUGAGGACUAAUAUUAAAAUAUUUGUUUAC